rnacentral:tRNA from 1 species
GAGGGUAUGGCUCAGUGGUGGAGCGCAUGCUUAGCAUGCACGAGGUCCUAGGUUCAAUCCCCGGUACCUCCA